CAGACAGGAGAUUGCCUCACUUAAAGGUCGAAGCCCUUUCCAGUUUGGAGGUGGCCAUCUCAAAGAGCUUCCCAGCACAGUUGUUAUUGAGCUGACAUGAUAGAGAAAGGAACAGAUGAGGCAGUCUGAACCCUUUCUUCAACACUGCUAUUCAGAAAACUGAAGGUUACACCAGAAGAACACUGGGAGGAAGAUGAUGAGUGCCAGGCACACGUUUCCUCUCAAGAGCCUAUUGAAUGGAAACACCCAGCACACCAUUCAUUCACCCCAAAGCAGACAACACACAGUCACAUAAAACAAUUGGAAGACUGACAGCCACACCACCACUGAUGUCACUUCCAUUUUUCACACUCCUGAACCUGCCAUAUUGCGGCGGGUUGGCGCCCUGCCCGGGAUUGGUUCCUGCCUUGCGCCCUGUGUCGGCUGGGAUUGG